rnacentral:rRNA from 1 species
GUGAGAAAUCUGCCUUCAACACUGGGAUAACUCCGGGAAACCGGGGCUAAUACCGGAUAUGAAAUCUGCGGGCAUCCGCGGAUUUGGAAAGUUUUUCGGUUGCAGAUGAUCUCGCGGCCUAUCAGCUUGUUGGUGAGGUAAUGGCUCACCAAGGCGACGACGGGUAGCCGGCCUGAGAGGGCGACCGGCCACACUGGGACUGAGACACGGCCCAGACUCCUACGGGAGGCAGCAGUGGGGAAUAUUGGGCAAUGGAGGAAUCUCUGACCCAGCGACGCCGCGUGCGGGAUGAAGGCCUUCGGGUUGUAAACCGCUUUCAGCAGGGAAGAAGCGAAAGUGACGGUACCUGCAGAAGAAGCACCGGCUAACUAUGUGCCAGCAGCCGCGGUAAUACAUAGGGUGCAAGCGUUGUCCGGAAUUAUUGGGCGUAAAGAGCUCGUAGGUGGUUCGUCACGUCGGAUGUGAAACUCUGGGGCUUAACCCC